UACGAUGGGGGCUAGCGUUGUUCGGAAUCACUGGGCGUAAAGCGCACGUAGGCGGAUUGUUAAGUGAGGGGUGAAAUCCCGGGGCUCAACCCCGGAACUGCCUUUCAUACUGGCAGUCUUGAGUUCGAGAGAGGUAAGUGGAAUUCCGAGUGUAGAGGUGAAAUUCGUAGAUAUUCGGAGGAACACCAGUGGCGAAGGCGGCUCACUGGCACGAUACUGACGCUGAGGUGCGAAAGCGUGGGGAGCAAACAGG
rnacentral:rRNA from 1 species